rnacentral:rRNA from 1 species
AUUGAACGCUGGCGGCAUGCUUUACACAUGCAAGUCGGACGGCAGCAUAAAAGAGCUUGCUCUUUUGAUGGCGAGUGGCGAACGGGUGAGUAAUGCAUCGGAACGUACCGAGUAGUGGGGGAUAACUGUCCGAAAGGAUGGCUAAUACCGCAUAUUCUCUGAGGAGGAAAGCAGGGGACCUUAGGGCCUUGCGCUAUUUGAGCGGCCGAUGUCUGAUUAGCUAGUUGGUGGGGUAAGAGCCCACCAAGGCGACGAUCAGUAGCGGGUCUGAGAGGAUGAUCCGCCACACUGGGACUGAGACACGGCCCAGACUCCUACGGGAGGCAGCAGUGGGGAAUUUUGGACAAUGGGCGCAAGCCUGAUCCAGCCAUGCCGCGUGUAUGAAGAAGGCCUUCGGGUUGUAAAGUACUUUUGUCAGGGAAGAAAAGCCUGAGGAUAACACCCUCAGGUCAUGACGGUACCUGAAGAAUAAGCACCGGCUAACUACGCGCCAGCAGCCGCGGUAAUACGUAGGGUGCGAGCGUUAAUCGGAAUUACUGGGCGUAAAGCGAGCGCAGACGGUUAUUUAAGCAAGAUGUGAAAGCCCCGGGCUCAACCUGGGAACUGCGUUUUGAACUGGGUAACUAGAGUGUGUCAGAGGGGGGUAGAAUUCCACGUGUAGCAGUGAAAUGCGUAGAGAUGUGGAGGAAUACCGAUGGCGAAGGCAGCCCCCUGGGAUAACACUGACGUUCAUGCUCGAAAGCGUGGGUAGCAAACAGG